rnacentral:rRNA from 1 species
GAUGAACGCUGGCGGCGUGCCUAAUACAUGCAAGUCGAGCGAACAGACGAGGAGCUUGCUCCUCUGACGUUAGCGUCGGACGGGUGAGUAACACGUGGAUAACCUACCUAUAAGACUGGGAUAACUUCGGGAAACCGGAGCUAAUACCGGAUAAUAUAUUGAACCGCAUGGUUCAAUAGUGAAAGACGGUUUUGCUGUCACUUAUAGCUUGAUCCGCGCCGCAUUAGCUAGUUGGUAAGGUAACGGCUUACCAAGGCAACGAUGCGUAGCCGACCUGAGAGGGUGAUCGGCCACACUGGAACUGAGACACGGUCCAGACUCCUACGGGAGGCAGCAGUAGGGAAUCUUCCGCAAUGGGCGAAAGCAUGACGGAGCAACGCCGCGUGAGUGAUGAAGGUCUUCGGAUCGUAAAACUCUGUUAUUAGGGAAGAACAAAUGUGUAAGUAACUAUGCACGUCUUGACGGUACCUAAUCAGAAAGCCACGGCUAACUACGUG